rnacentral:rRNA from 1 species
GCCCAGCCGUAAACCUUAACUUACACUCAAAUCGCCAGGGAACUACGAGCAAAGCUUAAAACCCAAAGGACUUGACGGUACCCCAUAUCCACCUAGAGGAGCCUGUUCUAUAAUCGAUGAUCCACGUUUAACCUCACCAUUUUUAGCCUAUCAGCCUGUAUACCUCCGUCGUCAGCUUACCUCGUGAGCGACCACAGUGAGCUCAAUGUCCACCCGUCAAAACGUCAGGUCAAGGUGCAGCUUAUAAAAUGGGAAGAGAUGGGCUACACUCUCUAACCUAGAGAACACGAAAGACUACUUAUGAAACCUAGUCGGAAGGCGGAUUUAGAAGUAAAAGGAGACAAGAGGGCCCCUUUUAACUAGGCACUGGGGUGUGUACACACCGCCCGUCACCCUCUUCGAAGCCAGUAAAACAGUAUUUAACUCACCCAAGCAAAAUAGAAGAGGCAAGUCGUAACAUGGUAAGUAUACCGGAAGGUGUGCUUGGAGA